rnacentral:lncRNA from 1 species
GAGUAGCCCUAGAGGCCUAACGCUUGAGGUCACCUUCAUGGUUUUUCCAGUGACCUUGGCCAUUAAUGAGCUCCCACCGCUUCCCCAGCUGCAGCUGUAUUAUAGCGCCAGAGUCUUCCAAGCCUGCAGGUUGUGCCAAGCCUGGAGGGAUUUGCAAAAGAAACAUUUGCCUACACCAAGAUCAUGAAGAUGUUUUCUUCUAGAGGAUUUCUAGUUUUAGCUCUUUAUGUUUAAAUUGAGGGAAACUAAAUGUAUGGCCUUAAGGAGCUGUUCCAGCCUGAGACUAUACACCAGCAGAAAGAAACUCACAGCACUGAAAAUAUUGUUCUCCGCCCUCCCUCAUCCCUCUUCCUUCUGAAUGGGAAAAAAGAGUAAGAAGCUUUUCCCUCCAGCUGAAAGCAAAGGAGUACUCUAGCCCUCUGUGAUAGCUGAUGGCAGCAUCUUUGGUAAGCAAAUGGAUCGUCUCUGCCAAGAAGGAAGAAAAAAAGAAGCAUUAAUUGGGCACCUUCUACUUGCCAGGCUCCAUUCUAGAGAAUUUACCUAAAUCAUCUCAUUGAAUUCACAUGACUAGAUAAUGUAAAGAGUGGUCACCUCCCCAUUUCACAGAUCAGGAAACUGAGGCUCCGACUAGAAAGAUGAAGCAACUUGCCUAGCUAGUGAUUCCAAUCUGGGUUUUGCUGAUUCUUUGCUUAACCUUCCUGAAAUGCCCCUUUUCUUCUCCUCAAGGUGGCUCUCCCAGAGAGGCUGCUCUCUUUGCUGGAAUUUGCCUUGUUCUCUCCUCACUGCUGAAGCACUGUCACUGCGUCCUAAAAAAACACCACAGUAUCCGUAAGACGUUGCCUGUCAUUGGAGGUUUGCUCCUUCUCUCUAUCUCAGACAGGAUUCAAUGAAGAAAACAGAAGCCACUGUAUGUACUCCAGGUGUUUAAAGUUUUAAUUUAGAGAAUUAAGGGUAUACUGAAAUAUUGCAAGACCUGGGGUAGUGGAGGUCAGGUAAGCUGACACCAAAGACCUCAUCCCAAAACACUCAAAGAGUGGUACAUGUCCCACACUUGUGGGCAGCAGCAAGCAUGAUUGUUCCCAAAUCUCAACUCCUUACAGAUCUGGCUGUAACUACCCCUGAAGAACAAAGACCUUUCCCCCACCUCUGUCCUAAUCUCAGGAGAGCUUCUCAUUUGCAAACUCUAACCAGGAAUCAGACAGGGACAGAGUUCAGGGAAGUAUUCCUGGCUUUGCUUCCCUCUGCAGAAGGGACUUUGGCUUUGAGGGAGGUCCUGGGGUUGGUGGUAAUGCCAAGUUGACCUUGGACAAUCCAGCACUCUCUAAGGAUGGCUCCAGCCCCUCGAGGGGAGUCAGCACCCUCUGAAUAGCAUUUUCAGGCCUCUCCCAGGAAGCUGGGGCUUGGAGUGGGAGUGUCCCCCCAGGAGAGUGGCAGAGGCAGGAUGAUUCAGGGUCAGCCCAAACCUUACAGAUAUUCCCCGAGGUGGCCAACGCAACCAUGAGCAAGAGCCGAGGCCUUAGCCAACAAGACAAUGGAGGGCAGCUCAUAUGAAGGGCAAAGCAAAGGCCAAAGUGAGAGAAGUAAGCGCUGUGACAUGGAGACCAGCUCAGGAUAGGAUAGAUGGCUCAGGAACCAGGCUGUUAAGGAGAGAAUACUCAGCAUUUCUGAGAACACGGCAGUUCGAGGACCCGUGCUGGUCUGGGCCCGCUCCCCCAGCCCCUGAUGGGGGCCUGUGUGCUCUGCAAAGAGCUGUGCCCUGUGAUGGGGGGUCUGUGACCUGGGAGGGAAUACACUCAAUCUCACAUGGGUUGUGGAAGCCUGUGCUCCCCCCACAGCCAGGGAAGAUCAUGAGCUGCUUUGUGAGUGUGAGACAUUACAGAUACAACAGCCAAUUGACUCAAACAAAACUAUUGCAGGAAAGAAAAGGCUUUCUGAAUUAUGGAGUGCUGUGGGCUGAGUUGUGGACCCCCAAAAUUUAUAUGUUGAAGUCCUACCCCUAGUGCCUCAGAAUGUUCCUUUAUUUGGAGAUAGGGUCUGAUAGAGUUUAGUUAUUUGUCCCCCCAAAUCUCAUGUUGAAAUGUAGUCCCCAGUGUGGAAGGUGGGGCCUGGUGGGAGGUGAGUGGCUCGUGGAGGAGGAUUUCUCAUGAUUGGUUCAGCCCCAUCCUCAUGGUGCAGUCCUCAUGACGGUGAGUGAGUUCUCGUGAGAUCGGGUGGGUUGAAAGUGUGUGGCCCCUCCUUCUCCUUCUCUUGCACCUGCUUUGGCCAUGAGAUCUGCCUGCUCCACUUGCCUUCCGCCCUGAGUAAAAGCUCCCUGAGGCCUCCCCAGAAGCUGAGUAGAUGCCAUAGCCAUGCUUCCUGUACAGCCCACAGAACCGUGAGCCAGUUAAACCUCUUUCCUUGAUAAGUUACCUACCCUCAGGUAUUUCUUUAUAGCAGCGCAAGAACAGACUCAUACAGGAUCACUGCAUGUGGAAUCAGGUAAGACAAGGUCAUACUGGAGUAGGAAAGGGGUUAAUCCAAUAUGACUGGUGUCCUUAAAAAAUGGGAAAUUCAUCGAGGGCAGAUUGGAUAAAGGAAAUGUUGUACAUAUACACUAUGGAAUACUUCACAGCUAUAAAAAAGGAGAAGAUUAUGUCCUUUGCAGGUACAGGAAUGGAGCUAGAGGUCAUCAUCCUUAGCAAACUAAUGCAGGAACAGAAAACCAAAUGCCACAUGUUCUCACUUAUAAGUUGAAGGUAAAUAAUGAGAACACGUGGACACAUAGAGGGGAAUAGCACACACUGGGGCCUACUUGAGGGUAGAAGGUGGGAGGAAGGAGAGGAUCAGAAAAAACGAUUGGUUACUAGGCUUACUACCUGGUUGAUGAAAUAAUCUGUACAGCAAACCCCAGUAUCAAGAGUUUACCUAUAUAACAAAACUGCACAUGUACCCCUGAACCUAAAAUAAAAGCUUUUUAUAAAAAGAAAAGAAAAAGGGCUGGGCAUGAUGGCUCACACCUGUAAUCCCAGGACUUUAGGACACCCAGGUGGGUGGACUGCUAAGCUCAGGAGUUCAAGACCAGCCUAGGCAACAUUGCGAAACCCCGUCUCUACAAAAAUUAGCCAGGCAUGGUGGCAUGUACCUGAAGUCCCAUCUACUUGCAGGGCUGAGGCCAGAGGAUCGCUUGAACCCAGGAGGUGGAGAUUGUAGUGAGUUGUAUUUGUGCCACUGCACUCCAGCCUCGUUGACAGAGCAAGGGCAAGACCUUUUCUUUAAAAAAAAAAAAAGAAAGAAAGAAAAGAAAAAGAAAAGACAAGAAAAGAAAAGAAAAGGAUAUAAUCAGCCAAAUUCAAAAUGUGUGAAAUGCUACAAGGUAAGUGAACUAAUUUUUUCCAAUAAAUAAAUGAUAAGAAAAAAGAGAGAAGAGGAAACUACUAUAGAUUUUAAGAAAUUUAAGACAUAUCAACCAAACACAAUGUGUACAUAGACCUUGUUGAGAUCCUGAACAAAUUGACUUUUGGGGAAAUGUGAACACUGAGUAGCUAUCUGGUAAUACUGGGUUUUUUGGUUUUGGUUUUGUUUUUUGAGACAGAGUCUCACUCUGUCACUCAGGCUGGAGUGCAGUGGUGUGAUCUCGGCUCACUGCAACCUCUGCCUCCUGGGUUCAAGUGAUUCUCCUGCUUCAGCCUCCUGUGUUGCUGGGAAUAUAGGUGCACGCCACCAUGCCUGGCUAAUUUUUGUACUUUUAGUAGAGACAGGGUCUCGCUAUAUUGGCCAGGCUGGUCCCUAAUUCCUGACCUCAAGUGAUCUACCCACCUCAGCCUCCCAAAGUGCUGGGAUUACAGGUGUCAGCCACCAUGACUGGCCAGGUGAUACUGUUUUGUUCAGUUAAUAGUGAGAUAAUUGUAUCAAAAUUAUGUAUUUAAGAGUUCUUGGCUGGGUGUGGUGGCUCACGUCUGUAAUCCCAGCACUUUGUGGGAGGCCAAGGCAGGUGGAUCACUUGAGAUCAGGAGUUCAAGACCAGCCUGGCCAACAUGGCAAAACCCUGUCUCUACUAAACACACACACAAUUAGCUGGGCAUGGUGGCAUGCACCUGUUAGCCCAGCUACUCAGGAGGUUGAGGCAUGAGAAUUGCUUGAACCCAGGUAGUGGAGGUUGCAGUGAGCCAAGAUAGCACCACUGCACUACAGCCUGGGCGACAGACUGAGACUCUGUGUCAAAAAAAAAAAAAAAAAAAGUUAUCAUUUAGAAGACAUGUGACUGACAUGUAUGUAAAUAAAAUGAUAAGGAGAAUUUGCUUUAAAAUAUUUCCAUAGAGAUAGGUGCAGGGAGGAGGAACAAAUGAGAUAAGAUUGGCCAUUUGUUGGUCAUUGUCGACACUAUGUAAUGGGUACAUGGGGGUUCAUUAUACUAUUCUAUUUUUGUGUAUGUUCAAAAUUUUCUACUAUUAAAAGUUUUUUUAAUUUUAAAAUAAAAAAUAAGUAAAAAUGGGAAAUUUAGAGGUAGACACUCAUGCAGGAAAAGUGCCAGGUGAAGAUGAAGGCAGGGAUCGUAGUGAAGCUUCUACAAGCCGAGGAUCACCAGCAAACCACCAGAAGCCAAGGGAGAGGCCAGGAACAGACUCUCCCCACAGCCCUCAGAAGGGUCCAACCCUGCUGACACCUUGAUCUUGGACUUCCAGCUUCCAGGACUGUGAAACAAGACAUUUCUUUGGUUCAAGCCACUCCCUUAGUGCACAUUGUUAUGGCAGCCAUGGAAAACCAUCCACAGAGGGUCAGUUCCUAUGGAGGUGGGGUGAGUGACGAGAUGUUCCUGACUGGGCUGACAACGGAGGACGAGAGAGCUUGGGUGUGGAUGGGAAAAUAACUAGAAACUUCCCUUGAUCUCUCAGCAUUCUGUUCCAUCCCUGUCACUUCGAUGUCUCUCUUUCUUGAAUAUGGAAGCAGCCCUGGGCCCAGCUGCUGCAGGUGGCCAGGAAGGAGCCUGGGAGGAUGACGGGGUUCCUGAUCUGAUAGAACUGGGCUGUGACUAGGCAGAACCCUGUUCCACCACACACACCCCAGUGGAGGUCAGUACCCCAAAUCUGACACCAGGAUGUAGCAUGUCCAUGGAGUCUGUCUGCUGACACCUGUCCCACCCUCCCCUGGCCCGUAACUUUGAGAGAUACUGCAAUUCCUACCGAUGUUGCUGCCAUCCUUUAUUCAGCCCAUUAUCAGAAGUUAUGACACAUUGCAAAAUGCUCAGGCUAGUUGAAUUUCUGCAACAGGGCAAGGCGGUUAAAUCCUGUCCUUCCUGGAGUCUCAUUGACCAGGCUUUGAAUCCCAAUUCUACCAUGGAUUAGAUUUGCAACUUUGGCAAAUUGAUGAACUCUUCUGAGCUUUGGACUAAUAAUAGGGUUUUGUGAGGAAUACCUGAGAUAAUGCAUGUACAACACCUUGCAUGUUGUUUAGCACCUACUAGAAAUGCAACCAACUCUAGCUGUUAUCGCUAGUUUUUCUCUUGCUCCAUCUCCAUUCCUGAGAUGUGCAUGGCUACUCUGUGUUUGUUGUUGGGAAGAGCCGUAGACAGUCGUAUCCUCUUCCUGAGAAUGGUAACUGAGCUGCCCCCUUGGGACUGUCCAGGGGCUGGCCAUUAGCCCCACGAGGCAGCAACAAAACCAACAAGACAAGUCUGUUUACUCUUCUGGUCUAUAAUUUAAAAUGUGUUUGAUGCUACUUUUUUUUUUUCUUUUUAGGACGUUCUGUAUCUGUGAUGAAUGACCCCUGCAUACAUUAUAUCUUUCAGUAAAAACAGUGGUGUUUCAGUAGUGUUACUAGCUAAGCUGCUUAACUCUCACAUUACAGACGUCAGUGAAGCCCCUUGGUAGGUAGUGUCUAAAAUUAGAUUUAUCUGCUUAUUUACACAAUUAUACUCUCAUGAGUUUGAAUGUUGGGGAAAGAUCAAGAAAAAGACCAGAUCACUAGAUGGCAAUAGCACACAAGAGCUUUAUUUGGAUGAAGCUUGGACAGAAUGCAUGGAAGGGGAAAGUCCCUUGCAGCAGAAGACCUUCCAGAGGCAGUGGCAGGGCCACCACCAGAAGAAAAGGGCAAGGACACUCCCAGGGGAGAGGAGGAUCAGAGAGGAGGUUACAGGUCUAAGAGAUGUCACAGGUCUAGAAGAAAAGAAAAGGAGCCAGGUGCAGUGGCUCACACCUGUAAUCCCAGCACUUUGGGAGGCCCAGGCGGGCAGAUUGCUGAGUUCAGGAGUUUGAGACCAGCCUAGGCAAACAUGGUGAAACCCCAUCUCUAAAAAAAGAUUUAAAAAUUAACCAGGCCUGGUGGCAUGUACCUGAAGUCUCAUUUACUUGGGGGGCUAAGGCUGGAGGAUCGUUUGAACCCAAGAGGGUUCAUGGUGGGGAGCAUCAUGGUGAGGAGUCUCUGGGUCAGAGAGCUCCAAAGGACAGCAGCCAUUUGGGGUCUUUUGUAGCCCUGAGGUUCGUCUUACCUAUGGUGAGAGGGUGUCGGGUGUAGUUUUGCAAAUUAUCGAAGCAGGCAGGCUCUAAAUGGGCAAAUAAUAUUUGGCCUACAUUUAAAGCAAUUGGAUGUGCAAGAAUUUGAGUUUGGUGCUGGCAGGCUUGAGUUAACGGUCCUGGGCUGUGGUGUGGAAGUAAACAGCAUGGGGGCCAAUACACAGGGGCUGUCUUGAACUCGUUCAUACAAUCCAUUUAUAACCUGUUUAUAACUUGUUUAUAACCCAUUUAUACCACAUACCCCUAAAGCAAAUACCUAGCAGAUAGCAUGCAGGGCCUAUUUGCCUGGCCUCCUUCAAUGGCAUCACAUUCUCCACCACCACGAUGGUUAAUAUGGACGAGCCCUAGCAGCUGCCCAGUGAAGUCCACACGCUACUGCCCAAACCAGCUCAAGUCCUUAGUUGUCAUGAAAAUAAUGUGAGUUCCCACAGCCGUAAAAGGGAAAGCAGCAAGAGCCACAUGAGCAUCCCCGGAACCCUGGGAACAGUCAUCAGUGUCAUCUUCAGGGUCAUGUCCCUACAAGCAGUUCUCAGGCUCCUGCUGAGGGUCAGAACAGAGCCGAAGUCACAGGAUAUCAAAAAUGGAUAAGCCCAACCUCAGCUCGCAGAGGAAUUGCUCAGCUGACAGAUGAUUGUGUUAUCUCAGUGAAGCCAGAUGACAAUGUACUUGGCCAACGGAACAUCUUGGUCAAUGGAUCUCCAAGUUGGUUAUAAAAUUAAAGCAAAAUAAUGCCAUUAUAUGUAAGAUGUCAUUGAUUGUAAGAUGCUCCUUUAUUUGAUGUACCACUAAUAAAUAAAAACACUGACAUUUAAACAAUGACAAUUGCAUAACACAUCUGCUUGUUCAAUGUUAAAUAUGAAAAAAUGUGC